rnacentral:lncRNA from 1 species
CCCACAUUAAUGCAAUCAAUAUUCAAGGAAAUUAAAUUAUGCAUGCAAUAUUAAGGGUAGUUAAACUAUUCUUAGUACUAGUCAUUGUUUAAUGCAAGAAUCAAGGUAAUUUACAUUCCGAAGUCAUCCAAUACAAAUACAAAUGAAUAAAUGUGAUGGAAGAUGAAUUUUUUUUUGGUCUUUAAUUUAAUAUUCCAAAUACAAUUGAAUAAUGGAGUAGUUUAUAUUUGUGAUAACAAAGCAUAUUAAAUACGUAUUAGUAAACAAAUAUAUUAACUACACUCAAAUAAGAACCAGGACUAUAAUUUGGGACAGACGAAAAAGGAAACAUGACUAUCUUUAUGGGAUGGAGGGAGUAUGAAAUUAUCCACCUAUGCUGUUCCUAGUGAGUUUUAUCUAUCAUAAAAUUCAUUCAUCCCAGAAUCUGAAUCCAUUGUCUCAGCAAAUUAUACAUCAUUCUCAAGAGAUGAAAUUGAAGGAGGCUGAGUACUAAAAGUAGGUAUUUUCUUGUUAGAU